AGACCGAUAGCAAACAAGUACAGUGAUGGAAAUUUGCAAAGAACUUUGAAGAGAGAGUUAAAAGUACGUGAAACUGUGUGGUUGUAAACGAAGCCUCCCUCGAAGUGUUCCCGGGCGAACCCAACCUAGGGCUGGGGCAGCUCUUGCCACCUGAUCAGCAAUGACUGGUGGCGGGAUGCUUGCUCUGGCCACGGGUGCAUCUUUGCCCGGGUUUACGGCAGGAACUGUUGGGACUGGACCGAAGGCCUGGGAUGAAGUUUUCGCUUCGGCGUUAGCUCCCGGUGUCCUGGCUCCGGACCCGACAGGCAAAUCCGUGCGGACUUGUACAGCAAGCAACGCUUCUGUUGCGGUCCGCCGUUCCCUGCCGAGUAGGUCGGUGAAGGCUUCGACCCGUCUUGAAACACGGAC
rnacentral:rRNA from 1 species